rnacentral:rRNA from 1 species
AACGAACGCUGGCGGCGUGGAUAAGACAUGCAAGUCGAACGAGAGAAUUGCUAGCUUGCUAAUAAUUCUCUAGUGGCGCACGGGUGAGUAACACGUGAGUAACCUGCCCCCGAGAGCGGGAUAGCCCUGGGAAACUGGGAUUAAUACCGCAUAGUAUCGAAAGAUUAAAGCAGCAAUGCGCUUGGGGAUGGGCUCGCGGCCUAUUAGUUAGUUGGUGAGGUAACGGCUCACCAAGGCGAUGACGGGUAGCCGGUCUGAGAGGAUGUCCGGCCACACUGGAACUGAGACACGGUCCAGACACCUACGGGUGGCAGCAGUCGAGAAUCAUUCACAAUGGGGGAAACCCUGAUGGUGCGACGCCGCGUGGGGGAAUGAAGGUCUUCGGAUUGUAAACCCCUGUCAUGUGGGAGCAAAUUAAAAAGAUAGUACCACAAGAGGAAGAGACGGCUAACUCUGUGCCAGCAGCCGCGGUAAUACAGAGGUCUCAAGCGUUGUUCGGAAUCACUGGGCGUAAAGCGUGCGUAGGCUGUUUCGUAAGUCGUGUGUGAAAGGCGCGGGCUCAACCCGCGGACGGCACAUGAUACUGCGAGACUAGAGUAAUGGAGGGGGAACCGGAAUUCUCGGUGUAGCAGUGAAAUGCGUAGAUAUCGAGAGGAACACUCGUGGCGAAGGCGGGUUCCUGGACAUUAACUGACGCUGAGGCACGAAGGCCAGGGGAGCGAAA